rnacentral:rRNA from 1 species
GACGAACGCUGGCGGCGUGCUUAACACAUGCAAGUCGAACGGAAAGGCCCUGCUUGCAGGGUACUCGAGUGGCGAACGGGUGAGUAACACGUGGGUGAUCUGCCCUGCACUUCGGGAUAAGCCUGGGAAACUGGGUCUAAUACCGGAUAGGAGCCAUUUUUAGUGUGAUGGUUGGAAAGUUUUUUCGGUGUAGGAUGAGCUCGCGGCCUAUCAGCUUGUUGGUGGGGUAAUGGCCUACCAAGGCGGCGACGGGUAGCCGGCCUGAGAGGGUGGACGGCCACAUUGGGAAUGAGAUACGGCCCAGACUCCUAAGGGAGGCAGCAGUGGGGAAUAUUGCACAAUGGGCGCAAGCCUGAUGCAGCGACGCCGCGUGGGGGAUGACGGCCUUCGGGUUGUAAACUCCUUUCGCUAGGGACGAAGCUUUUUGUGACGGUACCUAGAUAAGAAGCACCGGCUAACUACGUG